UACAGAGGGGGCAAGCGUUGUUCGGAAUACUGGGCGUAAAGGCGCGUAGGCGGCCUUCUAAGUCGAACGUGAAAUCCCCGAGCUCAACUCGGGAACUGCGUCCGAUACUGGCGGGCUUGAAUCCGGGAGAGGGAUGCGGAAUUCCAGGUGUAGCGGUGAAAUGCGUAGAUAUCUGGGAGGAACACCGGUGGCGAAGGCGGCAUCCUGGACCGGCAUUGACGCUGAGGCGCGAAAGCUAGGGGAGCAAACGGG
rnacentral:rRNA from 1 species